rnacentral:rRNA from 1 species
AUUGAACGCUGGCGGCAGGCCUAACACAUGCAAGUCGAACGAGUGGCGGACGGGUGAGUAAUGUCUGGGAAACUGCCUGAUGGAGGGGGAUCUAUACUGGAAACGGUAGAUAAUACCGCAUACCCUCAGAUGUGCCCAGAUGGGAGUAGCUAGUAGGUGGGGUAACGGCUCAUCUAGGCGACCAGCCCUAUCUGGUCUGAGAGGAUGACCAGCCACACGGUAACUGAGACACGGUCCAGACUCCUACGUGAGGCAGCAGUGGGGAAUAUUGCACAAUGGGCGCAAGCCUGAUGCAGCCAUGCCGCGUGUAUGAAGAAGGCCUUCGGGUUGUAAAGUACUUUCAGCGGGGAGGCGUUACCCGCAGAAGAAGCACCGGCUAACUCCGUGCCAGCAGCCGCGGUAAUAC